UACGUAGGGGGCAAGCGUUGUCCGGAUUUAUUGGGCGUAAAGAGCGUGUAGGCGGCCUGAAAGGUCAGCUGUGAAAACUCGAGGCUCAACCUCGAGACGUCGGUUGAAACCAUCUGGCUAGAGUCCGGAAGAGGAGAGUGGAAUUCCCGGUGUAGCGGUGAAAUGCGCAGAUAUCGGGAAGAACACCCGUGGCGAAGGCGGCUCUCUGGGCCUGACCUGACGCUGAGGAGCGAAAGCGUGGGGAGCGAACAGG
rnacentral:rRNA from 1 species